rnacentral:misc_RNA from 1 species
GAUGAAGAACGUAGUGAACUGCGAUAAGUAAUGUGAAUUGCAGAAUUCAGUGAAUCAUCGAGUCUUUGAACGCACAUUGCGCCCGCCAGUAUUCUGGCGGGCAUGCCUGUUCGAGCGUCAUUACAACCCUCAGGCCCCCGGGCCUGGCGUUGGGGAUCGGCGGAGCCCCCCGUGGGCACACGCCGUCCCCCAAAUACAGUGGCGGUCCCGCCGCAGCUUCCAUUGCGUAGUAGCUAACACCUCGCAACUGGAGAGCGGCGCGGCCACGCCGUAAAACACCCAACUUCUGAAUGUUGACCUCGAAUCAGGUAGGAAUACCCGCUGAACUUAAGCAUAUCAAUAAGCGGAGGA